rnacentral:lncRNA from 9 species
AACAUAAUUCUCCAACGCUGAAGGUGUGUGUUUUUUUUUCAGUUGACACAGUCAUAUGGUCCAUUGCCUGCUUUCUACUUGUCUGCUUGUCUACUCCCAGAAUGACUGCCUGAAUAAGAAAUUCCAUGGGAAAUCACGAGAAAGAGCUAGAGUCAUAUAUACAAAAUACCAUUUGGCACCAUAAGGAAUGGGUUUGGAACAACUGGAUAUACUUCCACCCCAGGAAUUUCCAGGACAUCUGCAAUGAAUUCCUCUGCUACACUCUGAGGGUUUCCUGAGGGACAGAGUGUGUUUUAACUUGCCCGUGGUGAGUCAGCACCCAACAAGGGACGCAGGACGCAUGGUCACCUGAAAGAAAGAAAAAUGAUGGGAAAAGAAAAUCAACAGAAGAG